rnacentral:rRNA from 1 species
UACGUAGGGUCCGAGCGUUGUCCGGAAUUAUUGGGCGUAAAGAGCUCGUAGGCGGUUUGUCGCGUCUGCUGUGAAAUCCCGAGGCUCAACUCCGGGCCUGCAUUCGAUACGGGCAGACUAGAGUUCGGUAGGGGAGACUGGAAUUCCUGGUGUAGCGGUGAAAUGCGCAGAUAUCAGGAGGAACACCGGUGGCGAAGGCGGGUCUCUGGGCCGAUACUGACGCUGAGGAGCGAAAGCGUGGGGAGCAAACAGG